UAGGGAAUCUUCGGCAAUGGGGGGAACCCUGACCGAGCAACGCCGCGUGAGUGAAGAAGGUUUUCGGAUCGUAAAGCUCUGUUGUUAAGGAAGAACGAGUGUGAGAAUGGAAAGUUCAUACUGUGACGGUACUUAACCAGAAAGGGACGGCUAACUACGUGCCAGCAGCCGCGGUAAUACGUAGGUCCCGAGCGUUGUCCGGAUUUAUUGGGCGUAAAGCGAGCGCAGGCGGUUAGAUAAGUCUGAAGUUAAAGGCAGUGGCUCAACCAUUGUAGGCUUUGGAAACUGUUUAACUUGAGUGCAGAAGGGGAGAGUGGAAUUCCAUGUGUAGCGGUGAAAUGCGUAGAUAUAUGGAGGAACACCAGUGGCGAAGGCGGCUCUCUGGUCUGUAACUGACGCUGAGGCUCGAAAGCGUGGGGAGCGAACAGG
rnacentral:rRNA from 1 species